AUUGAACGCUGGCGGCAGGCCUAACACAUGCAAGUCGAGCGGAGCGGCGGACGGGUGAGUAAUGCCUAGGAAUCUGCCUGGUAGUGGGGGAUAACGUCCGGAAACGGGCGCUAAUACCGCAUACUAUCAGAUGAGCCUAGGUCGGAUAAGCUAGUUGGUGGGGUAAAGGCCUACCAAGGCGACGAUCCGUAACUGGUCUGAGAGGAUGAUCAGUCACGCUGGAACUGACAACCGGUCCAGACUCCUACGGGACGCACCCGGGGGGAAUAUUGGACAAUUGGCGAAGACCUGAUCCAGCCAUGCCGCGUGUGUGAAGCAGCUCUUCGGAUUGUAAAGCACUUUAAGUUGGGAGGCGUUACCAACAGAAUAAGCACCGGCUAACUUCGUGCCAGCCGCCGCGGUAAUAC
rnacentral:rRNA from 1 species